GACUAGGAGACUCUGGACAAAAUGGCCUAUACUGACUUAUUUAGGCAUAGGAAUAUUGCUUCACUCAGCCUGACUGAAAUGGCAGGUGUCACCAAACAGACCACAACUGACUCUAGAAAAAGGAGGCACAUUUGGUGAGUUGAAACGUGAGAUUGGAACAUAUGUACCCCUACAGUCCUCCAGGAAGUCGUAAUUUGAUGGGAGACAAAGAAACAUAGCCAAGGAUACAAUUUUAAGGUCACCUUGAAUCCUUCCUGGAAAAAAGCAGGUCAUAAAUAAUAAUGGUUGUUGGAGAAAAGUCUCUAGGAAAGAUGAAGAACUUUUAAAUUCCUAGAAGCAUCUUAGAAAAGAUAACACAAAAACUUUAUUUAAUGUGAAAAUAAGAGCUGAGAGUCAGUUAAAUAAACAUUGGUAACAGUUGAAA